AAAUCGGUCCUUCUCAGGACCACAAAACGCAUCCCAUACAAAGAACU
rfam:Anopheles funestus strain FTMOZ unplaced genomic scaffold supercont1.838, whole genome shotgun sequence.